UUUAGGGGUAAACGGGAGAAAUCCGAAAAUCUGAAGGAAGUGAUUCACGUAAAUUCUACAUUGUAUAUUAUGUGUUGAUCGAUGAUUAUUAAACUCCUUGUAUGCAAUUUAUUGUAUAUCAAGGGUUCCGUUUAAUGUCACGAUUCUCAUAUAAUUAUAAAAAUAUAAUGUGGUUUACCGCAUUUCAACCUUCCUUUUUUUCCCCUUAAAAAAGGGAAAAAACGUCGCGACCCAUUGGAUUGCAGUCUAAGAUUUUAUAGGAAGUCCCAUGGAAGCUAUAUGCAUUUUAUAUGUAUAUUGUUUGUUCUGUGUGGUCCUAUUAAAUAAAUGAUCUGACUGAUUAUUCGAUGGUAGCAAAAAGAAAAAAGAUUUACCCGCACACACAUUUAAUGGUGCGUUUGAAUAUUUUUGCAAUUUUUUUUAUCAAUGUGAUUCUUUUAGUACGGACCUAAUGGCCCGUCUAAUUGUAAGCAUUGUUAACAGAAAUAUUCUCAAACAGUUUUGGUAAUCUUUGUCAGCGGCGAAUUAGUUUCGGAAUUUCACCCGACCC
rnacentral:rRNA from 1 species